UAUCUGGCAAAAAAAAGUGACUCUCUGCCACGUAGAUCGAGAUAUUAAUCAUUGAAGUUAACGACUAUUCAGAUUAAGAAAUCUAUCACAUCAAUGGUAUAAAGACAUGAGAACAUUAAUAUAGAUGUCAAGAUGCGCGCGCAGAGAAGGAUAGAUUGCCUCGAUAUUUUGUUUUUGCCAAACUCAGCAUAUAGAAAAAGUUGAAAAUCACUUGACCUUACAACCAACCAUAUGAGAGGCAUGCACUUGACAUUCCGAAUUGGAACAUGCAAAAAUAUUAACAUUGUAUGUAAAAAUUUGGCACAUUAAUGAUGGCUCAGGAUGAAAUCGAAAUGUUUUUUCUUUAGUAUGUAUUAUGUAUUAUAUUGAAUUA